UACAGAGGGGGCCAGCGUUAUUCGGAAUUAUUGGGCGUAAAGGGCGCGUAGGCGGCUUUGCGUGUCUUUCGUGAAAUCCCUCGGCUCAACUGAGGACGUGCGGAAGAAACUGCAGGGCUGGAGUCCGGGGGAGGAGGGUGGAAUUCCGCGUGUAGCAGUGAAAUGCGUAGAGAUGUGGAGGAACACCGAUGGCGAAGGCAGCCCCCUGGGCUGAGAUUGACGCUCGAGGCACGAAAGCGUGGGGAGCAAACAGG
rnacentral:rRNA from 1 species